GCCUUCGUGGUGUAGUGGUCUGCAUGCUCGACGCGUAACCGAGAGGUCAGUGGUUCGAUUCCCGGAGAAGGCG
rnacentral:tRNA from 1 species